rnacentral:rRNA from 1 species
AUUGAACGCUGGCGGCAGGCUUAACACAUGCAAGUCGAGCGGUAACAGAGAGAAGCUUGCUUCUCUGCUGACGAGCGGCGGACGGGUGGGUAAUGCCUAGGAAUCUGCCUAGUAGUGGGGGAUAACUUGCCGAACGGUAAGCUAAUACCGCAUACGUCCUACGGGAGAAAGGAGGGGACCUUCGGGCCUUUCGCUGUUAGAUGAGCCUAGGUCGGAUUAGUUAGUUGGUGAGGUAAUGGCUCACCAAGACCGCGAUCCGUAACUGGUCUGAGAGGAUGAUCAGUCACACUGGAACUGAGACACGGUCCAGACUCCUACGGGAGGCAGCAGUGGGGAAUAUUGGACAAUGGGGGGAACCCUGAUCCAGCCAUGCCGCGUGUGUGAAGAAGGUCUUAGGAUUGUAAAGCACUUUAAGUUGGGAGGAAGAGCAGUUAACUAAUAUUUGACUGUUUUGACGUUACCGACAGAAUAAGCACCGGCUAACUUCGUGCCAGCCGCCGCGGUAA